CUUUUACAAUGAAGAGUUUGAUCCUGGCUCAGGAUGAACGCUAGCUACAGGCUUAACACAUGCAAGUCGAGGGGCAGCAUUUUAGUUUGCUUGCAAACUGAAGAUGGCGACCGGCGCACGGGUGAGUAACACGUAUCCAACCUGCCGAUAACUCCGGGAUAGCCUUUCGAAAGAAAGAUUAAUACCGGAUGGCAUACGAAUAUCGCAUGAUAUUUUUAUUAAAGAAUUUCGGUUAUCGAUGGGGAUGCGUUCCAUUAGUUUGUUGGCGGGGUAACGGCCCACCAAGACUACGAUGGAUAGGGGUUCUGAGAGGAAGGUCCCCCACAUUGGAACUGAGACACGGUCCAAACUCCUACGGGAGGCAGCAGUGAGGAAUAUUGGUCAAUGGGCGAGAGCCUGAACCAGCCAAGUAGCGUGAAGGAUGAAGGCUCUAUGGGUCGUAAACUUCUUUUAUAUGGGAAUAAAGUUUUCCACGUGUGGAAUUUUGUAUGUACCAUAUGAAUAAGGAUCGGCUAACUCCGUGCCAGCAGCCGCGGUAAUACGGAGGAUCCGAGCGUUAUCCGGAUUUAUUGGGUUUAAAGGGAGCGUAGGUGGAUUGUUAAGUCAGUUGUGAAAGUUUGCGGCUCAACCGUAAAAUUGCAGUUGAAACUGGGAGUCUUGAGUACAGUAGAGGUGGGCGGAAUUCGUGGUGUAGCGGUGAAAUGCUUAGAUAUCACGAAGAACUCCGAUUGCGAAGGCAGCUCACUAGACUGUCACUGACACUGAUGCUCGAAAGUGUGGGUAUCAAACAGGAUUAGAUACCCUGGUAGUCCACACAGUAAACGAUGAAUACUCGCUGUUUGCGAUAUACAGUAAGCGGCCAAGCGAAAGCAUUAAGUAUUCCACCUGGGGAGUACGCCGGCAACGGUGAAACUCAAAGGAAUUGACGGGGGCCCGCACAAGCGGAGGAACAUGUGGUUUAAUUCGAUGAUACGCGAGGAACCUUACCCGGGCUUAAAUUGCAACAGAAUAUAUUGGAAACAGUAUAGCCGUAAGGCUGUUGUGAAGGUGCUGCAUGGUUGUCGUCAGCUCGUGCCGUGAGGUGUCGGCUUAAGUGCCAUAACGAGCGCAACCCUUAUCUUUAGUUACUAACAGGUCAUGCUGAGGACUCUAGAGAGACUGCCGUCGUAAGAUGUGAGGAAGGUGGGGAUGACGUCAAAUCAGCACGGCCCUUACGUCCGGGGCUACACACGUGUUACAAUGGGGGGUACAGAAGGCGGCUACCUGGUGACAGGAUGCUAAUCCCAAAAACCUCUCUCAGUUCGGAUCGAAGUCUGCAACCCGACUUCGUGAAGCUGGAUUCGCUAGUAAUCGCGCAUCAGCCAUGGCGCGGUGAAUACGUUCCCGGGCCUUGUACACACCGCCCGUCAAGCCAUGAAAGCCGGGGGUACCUGAAGUACGUAACCGCAAGGAGCGUCCUAGGGUAAAACUGGUAAUUGGGGCUAAGUCGUAACAAGGUAGCCGUACCGGAAGGUGCGGCUGGAACACCUCCUUUCU
rnacentral:rRNA from 1 species